rnacentral:rRNA from 1 species
GAUGAACGCUAGCGGCAGGCCUAACACAUGCAAGUCGAGGGGUAACAUAGAAAAGCUUGCUUUUCUGAUGACGACCGGCGCACGGGUGCGUAACGCGUAUACAACCUACCUUUUAGCGGGGAAUAGCCCAGGGAAACUUGGAUUAAUGCCCCAUAGUAUAUAGACUUCUCCUGAAGUUUAUAUUAAACAUUUAUGGCUAUUAGAUGGGUAUGCGUCCUAUUAGUUAGUUGGUAAGGUAACGGCUUACCAAGGUAGCGAUAGGUAGGGGUCCUGAGAGGGAGAUCCCCACACUGGUACUGAGACACGGACCAGACUCCUACGGGAGGCAGCAGUGAGGAAUAUUGGACAAUGGGCGAGAGCCUGAUCCAGCCAUGCCGCGUGCAGGAAGACUGCCCUAUGGGUUGUAAACUGCUUUUACAGAGGAAGAACCACCCCCACGUGUGGGGGUUUGACGGUACUCUGCGAAUAAGGAUCGGCUAACUCCGUG